rnacentral:rRNA from 1 species
AGUGAACGCUGGCGGUAUGCCUAACACAUGCAAGUCGAACGGCAGCACAGUAAGAGCUUGCUCUUACGGGUGGCGAGUGGCGGACGGGUGAGGAAUACAUCGGAAUCUACUUUUUCGUGGGUGAUAACGUAGGGAAACUUACGCUAAUACCGCAUACGACCUACGGGUGAAAGCAGGGGAGCUUCGGACCUUUCGCGAUUGAAUGAGCCGAUGUCGGAUUAGCUAGUUGGCGGGGUAAAGGCCCACCAAGGCGACGAUCCGUAGCUGGUCUGAGAGGAUGAUCAGCCACACUGGAACUGAGACACGGUCCAGACUCCUACGGGAGGCAGCAGUGGGGAAUAUUGGACAAUGGGCGCAAGCCUGAUCCAGCCAUACCGCGUGAGUGAAGAAGGCCUUCGGGUUGUAAAGCCCUUUUGUUGGGAAAGAAAAGAAGCAGGUUAAUCCCCCGCUGUUCUGACGGUACCCAAAGAAUAAGCACCGGCUAACUUCGUG